AGCACACAGCACUAUAAACAGCAAAGACUUAGAAGUGAAGGCUGUGGCAGCUACAGAGGCGAGACUGGUGGUGACCCAAGGAAUGGAAGAGCCAAUGAAGAUACUUAGAUUUGGAAGCUGUGCCAUCUGGGGACGUAUCAGUUCGAAGAAACAAAGGAGGA